GAUGAACGCUGGCGGCGUGCCUAAUACAUGCAAGUCGAGCGAACAGACGAGGAGCUUGCUCCUCUGACGUUAGCGGCGGACGGGUGAGUAACACGUGGAUAACCUACCUAUAAGACUGGGAUAACUUCGGGAAACCGGAGCUAAUACCGGAUAAUAUAUUGAACCGCAUGGUUCAAUAGUGAAAGACGGUUUUGCUGUCACUUAUAGAUGGAUCCGCGCCGCAUUAGCUAGUUGGUAAGGUAACGGCUUACCAAGGCAACGAUGCGUAGCCGACCUGAGAGGGUGAUCGGCCACACUGGAACUGAGACACGGUCCAGACUCCUACGGGAGGCAGCAGUAGGGAAUAUUCCGCAAUGGGCGAAAGCUUGACGGAGCAACGCCGCGUGAGUGAUGAAGGUCUUCGGAUCGUAAAACCCUGUUAUUAGGGAAGAACAAAUGUGUAAGUAACUAUGCACGUCUUGACGGUACCUAAUCAGAAAGCAACGGCUAACUACGUG
rnacentral:rRNA from 1 species